CGCACGGGUGAGUAACACGUAGGUAAUGUACCUUUGGGUGGGGAAUAACUUAGGGAAACUUAAGCUAAUACCGCAUAAUGCAGCGGCACCUAAUGGUGACAGUUGUUAAAGGAGCAAUUCGCUUGAAGAGGAGCUUGCGGCAGAUUAGCUAGUUGGUAAGGUAACGGCUUACCAAGGCUACGAUCUGUAACCGGUCUAAGAGGACGGUCGGUCACACUGACACUGAAUAACGGGUCAG
rnacentral:rRNA from 1 species